ACAACAACCAGAAGAACCACACUCAGAGUGACCACGCCUCCCCCACGGGUGACCACACCACGACCAGUGACAACAACCAGAAAAACCACACUCAGAGUGACCACGCCUCCCCCAGUGGUGACAACACCACGACAAGAUUCCUGCCCAUCCGGCGAGCAACCCGGAAUAGCGUUCGAAGGGCGACCGUGUACAGAGUAUGUAGCUAUCUACCCUGGCCGCUGCUACAAUCCGGUCGUGAUGACGCGCUGCUGUGUUUCCUGCAAGGCACAUUACAGACCAG